UACGGGAGGCAGCAGUGGGGGAAUAUUGCACAAUGGGCGAAAGCCUGAUGCAGCUAUGCCGCGUGUAUGAAGAAGGCCUUAGGGGUUGUAAAGUACUUUUCAUCGGGGAGGAAAAACAAAAACUAAUAAUUUUAUUUUCUUGACGUUACCCGAAAAGAAGCACCGGCUAACUCCGUGCCAGCAGCUGCGGUAAUACGGAGGGUGCUAGCGUUAAUCAGAAUUACUGGGCGUAAAGAGCACGUAGGUGGUUUUUUUUAAGUUCAGAUGUGAAAUCCCUGGGCUUAACCUAGGAACUGCAUUUUGAAACUGAAAUACUAGAGUAUCGUAGAGGGAGGUAGAAUUCUAGGUGUAGCGGUGAAAUGCGUAGAUAUCUGGAGGAAGUACCUGUGGCGAAAGCGGCCUCCUAAACCGAAUACUGACACUGAGGUGCGAAAGCGUGGGGAGCAAACAGGGAUUAGAUACC
rnacentral:rRNA from 1 species